UACAGAGGUGCCAAGCGUUGUUCGGAUUUAUUGGGCGUAAAGGGUGCGUAGGCGGCUAUACAAGUCGGGUGUGAAAUACCGGAGCCUAACUUCGGAAUGGCAUUCGAAACUGUAUAGCUCGAGAUCUGCAGAGGUGAUUGGAAUUCCUGGUGUAGCGGUGAAAUGCGCAGAUAUCAGGAGGAACACCAACGGCGAAGGCAGCUCUCUGGGACGUUACUGACGCUGAGACGCGAAAGCGUGGGGAGCAAACAGG
rnacentral:rRNA from 1 species